GCCCAUGGCCCCACAUCGAAGCGGCUGCUGCAUCGUAGCCUGUGGAACGCCCCGGCCUGCUGCCAGCAAACAUGGCUGUGCCCCUUGGCUUCCCCUCCCCCCAUCCCGGUGGAGAGCGGCUGGGGCGGGUGGCUAGGACACACUGACCCGCGCCCAGUGUCUGCUCUCUCUUAGUUGUGGAAGACAUUAACAAGCACCGGGAGCCAAUCCCCAGCCUGGAGGCCAUCUACCCGCUCAGCCCAGUGGAGGAGUCGGUGCAGGCUCUGAUCAAUGACUUCCAGGGCACCCCCACCUUCAACUACAAGGCAGCUCACGUCUUCUUCACCAACCCCUGUCCUGAGUCUAGGUUCAACGAGCUGAGGAAGUCACGGA